rnacentral:rRNA from 1 species
CCCUUAGAUGUUCUGGGCUGCAUGCGCGCUACACUGAAGCUAUCAACACGUUUUCCCUCCCUGAGAAGGGCGGGUAACCUUUUGAAUCAGCUUCGUGGUAGGGAUCGGGGCUUGCAAUUGUUCCCCGUGAACCAGGAAUUCCUAGUAGACGCGAGUCAUAAGCUCGCAUCGAUUAAGUCCCUGCCCUUUGUACACACCGCCCGUCGCUACUACCGAUUGAACGUUUUAGUGAGGCAUUUGGACCGACGCAUCUCAGUUUAACCGCUGGCUUGUGUUGGAAAGACUUCCAAACUUGAGCGUUUAGAGGAAGUAAAAGUCGUAACA